rnacentral:lncRNA from 12 species
CAAAAGUGCAAUUGGGAACAGAGGUGUUGAGAGGAGAUGAUAAACAAUCAACUCUUCAAAGCCAGUGAGAGUCCCUGGCUUCUGAUGGGCCUCUGACAUUUGUUCUGACAUCUGAUGAAGCAGCACUGAGAUUUCUCUGGACUAAAACAAUUAAAUUGGAUCUAUAAAGCUUGCCAUAAGACCAAGAUAUACUCCUAGGCAUUUCAUCCUCAUAUCCCAACAAGGAUUGGUGGCGUAUGGAUGAUAUCCAUUGAUAGGAUACUAUCCUACUUCAUGUAUUAACAACUGGACUUCCACCUGUGUCAAGGACAAUUUGUGCCCUCCUGCCCUGCCACCUUCAUCCCUAACAGGAUAGUAAAUAACCCGCAACACUAUUGCCCACACUCUUGGAUGAGUCUUGAUAUGUACUGCCUGGAUUUGGAUUUCUCUGAAGUGGAUUCUAAGGUUACAGAAGGAAGAGCCUAAAGGAAAAUGUAGGUCAAGUGCUUUUAUCCCUUGCAACUUUCAGAAGAACAAUCACAAAAUUACA